GCUGCUGCGUGGCGGAUCUUGUCCUUGUAGGUGCAGUUUCCCUGUGCGAUCAGCGCCACCCAGGCCCCGGGCUGUGCGGGAAUCGCGAACCGGGUGUUGGGGUCGCAGGCCUGGCGGUCGUGCGGGGCCACAGGCUGAACCACGAACCCCUUGGCGUCCCGCUUCGGGGAGUGCUCCCCGUACCGCCCGCACUCCGUCUUCUCGGUGCGCAGCUCCGAGGUGGCCGGGUCCACGUAGGUGAUGUUGACGAAGGCGGUGUACCACUCCUCCCGCUCGGCCACGGUGAAGUCCAGGCACAGCAGGUGGACGAAGCAGAAGGAGAGCAGCCACGUAGAAAGGGCCAGGCUGCGGCAGGCCGCCACCAGAGAGCCCGGGGCCAUGGUGAACCUCCCCGGUGAGAGCGAACCGUCGUCGCUGGAGCCCGAGAGCUUCGACGCCUACUCCACCAUGCUACCGACCAGGAGCUGCCGUCUGGAGGUCUGUACAGUUUGGGGAAGGUGAGGAGCUGGACGCCGCUGAAGGCGAACUUCCUGCAGCCCACAUUCUUCUGCACGUUCUCCAUCCUGCAACCAUCUCUGUGCACACACACACAUCGCAGAAACACACGGAUUAACAGUGAUCUGCUGGAGCAAGUGAAUUUUUCCAGUGUUGGAUCGAUAAAGUCUAUCUAACAGGUGACGUCCAUCUGCCUGAAACGAGUGAUUUACAGCAGUGUUCCCAGUCUGCGCUGGUCUACUAGUAUUUGGCCAGCAUUAUAACCAGGCUGAGGAUGAGCCACAGAACCAGCAGGUGAGAGGUCACCAGGAGGAAGGCCACCGGGUACAGGUGUCGUCUGGGAGCUUUAGGGGCCAAACACUGCGGGAGCCAGGAGCUCUGGAGACCGGAGGGACGCUCCCCGGUGUCUAACCCACAGACAGUGAGCUGGGCAUAACAGCCCAGCAUCUGCCCCCAGGACAGACGGGACCUGGAGGACGUGUGUGUGUGUGUGUGUGUGUGUGUGUGUGUGUGUGUGUGUGUGUGAGAGAUGAAGAAAAAGAGAAAUGGAGAACAAUGGAGGAUGAUGAUCCCAUAAGAAAGGAAGAUGAAGGUGAUGAAGAGAAAACAUGGAAAUAAGAUUGAGCUUCAGUGCCUCACAGAGCUGCCAGCUGCAGACUCGCAGAGCGUCUUACCGCAGCAGCGAUCCACAGGACCUCCACGUUCUUCCUCUUCCUGGUUUCCACACUGUGAUCCAGAGAGGACAGCAGGUCUGACAGGGACUGGAGACCAGCUGAGAGACAGAGCGACAGGUUCAGUGUGUUUGUAGCGUCUGUCAGAUGGUGACUACAGUUCCUGUUGUCUGUUUAUACUCUGGCUUCCUGCAUCAGAGGAGCUCACUGUGCUGGU